CCUACGGGUUGCAGCAGUGGGGAAUAUUGGACAAUGGGCGAAAGCCUGAUCCAGCAAUGCCGCGUGUGGGAUGAAGGCCUUCGGGUUGUAAACCUCUUUUCUCAGGGACGAUGAUGACGGUACCCGAGGAAUAAGCCACGGCUAACUACGUGCCAGCAGCCGCGGUAAUACGUAGGUGGCAAGCGUUGUCCGGAUUUACUGGGCGUAAAGAGCGCGCAGGCGGUCGGAUCAGUCGAAUGUGAAAGCCCCCGGCUCAACUGGGGAGGGUCAUUCGAUACUGUCCGACUUGAAGGCAGGAGAGGGAAGCGGAAUUCCCGGUGUAGUGGUGAAAUGCGUAGAUAUCGGGAGGAACACCAGUGGCGAAGGCGGCUUUCUGGCCUGUUCUUGACGCUGAGGCGCGAAAGCUAGGGGAGCGAACGGGAUUAGAUACCCGUGUAGUC
rnacentral:rRNA from 1 species